GAGCGCUAGCAUAUCGGGCAGUUGCAGCCUGCCUCGACGCACGGGCGGUACGAACGCGACGACAAAUUUCGGGAAGGAGCGAGGCCUAUAGGAAGAGCGCACCUUCGCUUCAAGGAUGUUUGCAAGACGGAUCUGACCAAGGCGAGCAUCGAUCCAAGUCAGUGGGAAAAUACAGCUGGUGACUGUGUCAAGUGGCGACAAGUGGAGUUGAGCUUGCAAAGAACGAACGCAUGCAAGAAGACAUCUGGAAGAGGGCUAGACGGAAGGAGAGAGCGGCCUCUGGUGGAAGUCCUUCACAUUUCAAGUGCCCAAUCUGCAGUAGAGACUGCCACUCUCGAGUGGGACUUUUCAGCCACAGCAGUUGUUGCGUCUUAACCAAUUAUGCUACACCAUCAUCCUUCGAGGAUGGACGGAUGCCAUAGAUUAUUAUUAUUGUUGUUGUUCACGGAGAAAACAAACUGUGGAUGAGUUAAAUAUUUGUUUACGUUUUGAAUAGGUUUAUGGUUUACAACCCCAUCCUCUAGCUAAUACUGAUUAUUAUUGUCUAGAAUAAAAGCCAGAUGGUGGACAACCGUGCAAACGUGACAUAGUAAGAACAAUAAAGGUAAGCACUCACUGACUGUAUAUGGGGAUGUACGGGUGUACGAGAGCACAGAGUGAACCAGAGUAGUUUAUGAGUUCGACUUGUGCUACAACUAAACCUAAAUUUCUUGUUAAGGCAAUACCUUCUAUAUAUUAGAAAUAUAUAAGUGCAUGAUUACGUAAAUGUAAAUUAUUUGAGAUAACUGCAGAGAAGAUGUAUAUCUGUUGAAACAGCAGAAGAUUAAGCAGUUUGAACACACUGAAAAUCACAAUAAAAUAAAUAUAAAACAAUUUGAUGAGAGACUGUAGAAAAACGACGCUGUUAAGGAAAGACUGGUGUCACUCUUACAGGCUAAAUGUAGUUAUUUCCUAAAUAUUUCUUCAACUAUUGAGUGAUAUUCAAAUUAUCUGUUAUUUUCCAGUGUGUCCGUUCCAUAUUUUGUAUGGUGAUUAAUAGUUUCAGUCUAACAACGUCAUCAUCCGAUACACGCAGCUGCCUUUGAAACCUGUCAUAUCCGUACUGCUGACAGAGUAAACUCCAUUAACUCCAUUAAAACGCACGGUACAUUACAAUUUAAAAUAAUAGAACUUCUCUCCUUGCUAGUCAUGUAUAUGCUUGUACUACUGAGGACGUUGUGAGUAUACGGUAAGUGUUUUAUUGCAGUCGCGAAAUGAAAGAUUUGGGAAAAAGUUCGAUGGACGCGAUGACUGAUGGCGAAAAAUAAAGCCGUCAUCAGCAUGUUGUACAAAUACGCUUCGUAUCGUGUAAGCUGAGAAAGUGUAUGAUGUUAUUCUACAGUUCCUACUUUGGACGUGCUGCUUCUGCAUGCAAGAACUUUUGUUUUGAUAGGGAAGAAUUGCUUUGGCAGAGAGGUACGUCGCGUUUCGAAUACGACCGUAGCCUCAUCAAAAAAGCCGUUGUGCAGAAAUCAGUGGACGGCAGUGCGCAACUCGCGCUGUUAAAGUGGCACUGCCGGUAUGGAUACUGCGUGAAACUGUUUAUAAAAUAUGUAAGGCUCCAGCCGCAAGGAAAUGAAGCCGUUAAUCUUUUACGCAAUUACGGAGUUUAAAUUACACAAAGGUCUUCGGCGAAAAGUCUUGGUCCGGAAAUAAUUAUCCCCCUGUGAUGGAUACUCGUGUGUUUGUUCUGGUUCUCCGCAGCAAGGUAUUUGCUCCUUUUGCAAGAUUACCAGCACACACACAAUUUGGCUGUGAAUGUUUCACUUUCAUUUCUACUAUAACGUUUGAUGCAGUCUAGCCGCUAAAUGCCAUACCCUUUCGAUAAUUGAUAUUCAGAACAACGUAUUAAAGUAACAGAAUCAUCCACUGCAUGCGUGUUAAAAGCCGCUAAUAAACAGUAUUCAUUCAUCUGACGUGAUGCACGGUCGCAUAUGCUGUAGGUGUCGAUUUUAACGAGUUGUUCUCACCUUCACGUGCGUAUAGUCUCGUAAAUUGAAACAGCUUCAUAAAAGGCAAAGCUUGUAGUACUAAAUUCCUUAACACGUCAUUAUUAACGAUGUAUUUAUUAGCCUGCUACCUAGUUAAUAUGUUUGUUAUUUAAAUGUUCUAUAGAUCAUACUCACUCUACUCGAUGUGCCGUUGGCCACGCCUACGUGUCAGCCGUUUAUCAAUAGUUAUUUCAUCCAUUCUGUAUUAAUUGAUUUACUUAUGUAACAAUAAUGGUUCUUCCAAAUGAAACAAAUUUAAUUUGUUUUAAAUAAAUAUGUGUUGUCUGACAAGCAUA